GAUGAAGAACGCAGCGAAAUGCGAUACUUGGUGUGAAUUGCAGAAUCCCGUGAACCAUCGAGUCUUUGAACGCAAGUUGCGCCCGAAGCCACUAGGCCGAGGGCACGCCUGCCUGGGCGUCACACGCCGUUGCCCCCCCAUCUACUCCUUCGGGAUUGCGGGGGGGCGGAUGAUGGCCUCCCGUGCGCCUAGCCGCGCGGUUGGCAUAAAUACCAAGUCCUCGGCGACGCACGCCACGACAAUCGGUGGUUGCGAAACCUCGGUUGCCCGUCGUGUGCGUUCGUCGCGCAUCGAGGGCCCGAAAAAAUGCUCGGCUCCGGCUGGGCUUUCAACGCGACCCCAGGUCAGGCGGGGUUACCCGCUGAAUUUAAGCAUAUCAAUAAGCGGAGGA
rnacentral:misc_RNA from 1 species